UUCUCUCAGUAUUUCUGAUAAUUCCUUCCUUCUGGUAGCCACUCAAUCAACUGAAAUGUUAGAAAGAAACAUCAUGGCACCUUUCAGCUUUGUUAAAAAAGAAAGGCGAUAAGUUUUUUCGUUAAAUUACGGCAACAUUGAUGCUGUGCUGGCUAAGAUUGUGACGUUGGAGAGAGCAGUCAAGCUUGGAAAGAAAGACCAAAAUUUACUGAUUGAGAAUAUUGUCCAGAGCAGACAGAAUGAGGUCUCCUUUAACACCAGCUGGUUAGAGAACCUUUAUGAGGAAAUUAUACUAGAAACACAAGGUGAUCGUAUUACUCCAUUGGUGUCCAAUCCUGGUAGGAUAAUGUUGACUUCUUCAAGGAUUUACUUUCAACCUUUCAACAAUGUUGAAGUGGACCCUGUGGUUAAGAUGGAGCUCUCCUCCCUCACUCAUGCCAUGAAGAGACAAUACAUGUUACGACAUGUGGUAAGCCACACUGUACAUGUA